AUGGCAUGCAGUUCUCUGAAGUUUGACCAUGUAGAGGAUUUCAGCAGGGGUACGCGCGACAACAAUGAAAAAAGCCGGGAUGGCUGCGUCGCUCAGGGCUGCACGCCACACUGUUCCCCUGUGAAGUGUCGCACACGUGUUGUAGAGGGUGUGCUGCUCAUCACUGGGGUGUGCUACGGGGACAGCACCGCCGUCUCCUCCCUCGUGCAGGGCAGUAGGGCUUGCAUGCAGUCCAGGACACAUCUCCUCCUAGCUACAUCUACCUCGGUUUCGAGAUGCCUCACCUUGCACCUCCACCUACUAUUUGUUGAUUUUUGUUUCCACCUGAUGGCCACAAGUACAGGUUUCUCUCGGUUGCAGCUCGGCUGGGUCGUCGAUGAAGUAUGGAGUGUAGUUAACAUCUCAAAGAAGCUCACUUUCGGUAGUUUCGCGGCCCGUUUACGGGCCAUCAUCCCCGCCUCCUGCCUCCCUCCUUCGCCGGAUCCAUCGACAGGGUCGUCAUCCCCGCCUUCUGCCUCCCUCUGUCGCCGGAUCCAUCGACAAGGCCGCCAUCCCCGCCUCCUGCCUCCCUCCGUCAUCGGAUCCAUCGAUAGGGCUGUCAUCCCCACCUUCUGUCUCCCUCUGUCUCCAGAUCCAUCGACGGGGCCGCCAUCCCCGCCUCCUGCCUCCCUCCAUCACCGGGGCUCCUUCUCCGGGGCAGUGAUCCCCACAAGGUGCUGCCUCAACGAACCUCUUCGCCAGACGUCCACCACAAGCAAGAGCUGCGUCAAUGGCGCGGGCUACCAAGAACAUGCCAGUACGACGCCCACGAGAGGAUGUCGAGGUUACUGUCAAUGCAUUGAUGCACGAUUAGCAUGUCGAGGUUACUGUCAAUGCAUUGAUGCACGAUUAGCAUGUCGAGGUUACUGUCAAUGCAUUGAUGCACGAUUAGCAUGUCGAGGUUACUGUCACUUUGCCGCUGCUAGGUUGCAACAAGGCCAACAAUAUCACCAACAACAAAUGUUUUCCUUCCCCAACGCAUGCAAAAAGCCAAGGACAGGAAGCCGUGGAUGGGUUGGAACAAGGCUUCCACCAAUCACUCCGUCAACAUCAAUCAUCCGUGCUACAAAAGCGGUUACGAUGGGAAGAGCAGGCCAAAGAGACAGAAAUUUUGGCCACUCUAGCAGGUUCAAAAGUACAAGAUAUGAGCCAUAUAGACAGGAGCUACCUCACAAUGAAUCUGAGGGGAGAUGGCCAUACAAUGAGAGAAGGAGAUCUUCAUCAACAUUGCUCCCUCCAAGAGAUGCAUUCUUGCAUGUGCCAAGUGUGACACCACCCGCGCCCAUAAACCAGGGUGAACAACAAACACCAAAGGCAGCGCAGAGCUAUACACAUCCACCUGACAUUGAAGCUUACGUUCUGCCAAGGCUAGAGAUGCGGUUUGAAACUUUCGAAGAAACAAAGAACUUCUACAACGUAUAUGCAAAGCACGCUGGUUUUGCUGUCAGGGAAGGCCCCAAGUUUAAGACCAGAGCCUACCUUUAUUGCACGUGCUAUGGAGUUUAUGAAUCCAAGCUCACCGCAGAAAUGCUUGUCUUCUUGCACUCCCACAAAAACUUUGACAAAACAAUCUUGGAGUACGUGAAGUACCUGCAGUUCAAAGGCAUUGAACACGCGCAAAUCAUGAGCAUACUGGGCAGUGAUGACCCUGGUAGCUACUUCCUAGAAAUGAAUGCCAAAGAUCUGUUUAACCUGAAAGCAAAGAAUUCAAGGAUGGAUGAUGUGGACGAUGUCCUAAAGACUGUCAACUUCUUUAGGGAGAUGAAAACUAUAAACAAGGAAUUCUUCUGUGACAUGCAGCCCGAUGAGUCCGACAGACCCCUUAUGCCAACUGAGUUUGAGGAUGCCUGGAAAAGACUCAUGGAUAAGUACAACCUUGACGAUGAUGGCACAAUGGUGGGCAUGUGGAACGAGCGUGAGAGAUGGAUAUCAGCCUACUUCAAAGAAAUUUUCUGGGCCAAAAUGACAUCCACACAGCAAAGUGAGAGCAUGAAUUAUGUGCUCAAGAAGAACUACGUAAGUGAGAGACAUAACCUACACCGGUUUGUCAGCCAGGCAAACUCCUGCGUCAAAACCAGGAGGCAGACAGAGAACCAGGAGACAAUGGGUAACCGGAAGGAACAAAACACGCUGACCUUCUAUGGGUUUGACACCCAGAUGGCAAAGUUGUACACACGAGCUGUGUACAACGAGAUCAUAAAUAGGUUAAAACUGAGCACACUCUUCACGGUGACAGAGACGGAAGACCCCACAAAGUACCUCGUGCGCUACAACCACCCGCAAAAACUGUCUGUGUGGGCUCAGCACGCGUUCCAGGUGGUUGCAGACCCCGUGGGAGAAACAUAUGAGUGCGAGUGCAGGCUAUGGGACCACACAGGUGAGGACUACAAAAAAGAUACAAUUAAGGCUGCCAUCGUUCUAGAGAAAUACAUCCUCAGGAGAUACACCAAACGCCCGAACAUCCAGCCAACAUUUGACAGAAAUGACUUGAGGACAGUAGCAACAAACAAGGCAUCCCAAUACUGCAUUACAAGCUCACUGCUGACGCUGAACAUGAGGGUGCACAGAAAAAGCUUGAGAAGCCAAGAGCAAAUGGCGAGGACGCGCGUCGUCAUGGACAGACUUGAACAAGAACUCGACGCCAUGCAUUCUGCUGAAAAUGGAGGUGUCGCGGACAAUGAAGCCAUUGAGCAAGAUAUUGCUACAAUGUUAUCCAAGAUGAACCAUCUGGGAUCUACUGACCCGUUCGACAACGAGGAAGAGGACUCAUCCUACCAGCAGCAGCAGGAAAGGGUGAUUAAACCACCCAUAUUAACAAACACAAAGGGUAGGAAGAGCAAAACACAAGCAGCGAAAGCUGCCAAAGCAGCAGCUAAAAAGCCACCACGCCCCAUCAAGCGCGUGGAAUUUGGCCCAGACGGCAAACCUCUCAGGAUAAGGGCAUGCGGAUUCUGCAACGUCGUGAGCAACCAUAACUACCAAACAUGCCCACUCCGCACAGAUGCCACUGUCAACAAGAACAAGCAGAUUGGAGCCACCCAGGUUUCUACCAAUGGAGACAACACACGUAACAGCUACACUUGCCGCAAGUGUGGGGGAACUGACGGACAUAAUGCCCGCACGUGCAAAGUGGGCAAGGAGAUGAUGAAGAAGAAGAGUUUGACGAGAAUGCAGACCAAUCAGACGAAGACAAUGAAGAUGACAGUGUCGGUGACGAGGAAACUGAAACUGACGAUGAAGCUGCCAAGGCUCAACCAGGAAAGGGCGCCGGCAAGGCACAAUAUUCGGGGCCAGCCAUCACCCGCGCCACCUACUGGGCGGUUGCCACGAGAGACUGCAAACGAAGACCCCCACGCCACUACACCCGCUACACCCACGCCCCCGAGGAACCGCCUCCCACACACCCCCGUCAACACACUGCAAAAAACCCCAUUCUCUUCCAUCUCUGCCUCAUUCCCACAAACCACCAUUGCUGCUUCCAUCUCCACUGCACACAAACCAAAAACUUCUCUCUCCCAAGCCCACAGUCGCCGGAGGAAGGCGAUGGCGGAGGAACCGUCCGCCAAGUGUCAUCAUGCCGAGACGUCGGACAAGAGCAGCACCCUCGUCGACAUUCACGUCCCCGGCGAGAAGCGCGACUACACAACAACAGUCACAGGGGUUGAGCUCCACGGCAACAAGACGCUGGAGAUCGUCUGCACCAGCGAACCAGAAAAGGCUGACGAGGUGAUCUCCAGGCUCUCGAGGAAGCUUGCCGUCAAGCAUCCGGAUCGUAGGAUCGUCGGCGUUGGUGUGCACUACAACAACGAAGAUGAACCUCCCCAGAUGGAAGCAGUCCUGCAGUUGUGCGUGGACGACCUCUGCUUGGUGUACCACAUCGCAACGGCCACAAAAUGCAUUGAAAGCGACAAAGAGAAGCUGAAGUUGUCCGGUUUGGAGAUCAACCCCAACAAGUUCAUCGACAUUCAGCGCAAGUGGAGAGUUCCAUACACCAGAAAAGAGUACAACUCCUUGACUGAUGUUGCAGCCAGCGUCAUCCACCCAUUCUACAAAGGCAUGAAGAAGAACAUCAACACACAGGAAGACUACAAACUGUGGGAGACAAGCCCGCUGCUUGACAACCUCAUCGAGUACGCAGGAGUAGAUGCAUACGCCACGUACAAGUCAUGGUUCAUAAUCGACUACAUCACAGAUGGUUCGGAGUAUGCGAAAGAGCGGGAGGCUGAGAAGUUCUACGGCUGCCCCUAUUGCUUCUUUGUGGGAUGA
rnacentral:rRNA from 1 species